rnacentral:rRNA from 2 species
UACGAAGGACCCAAGCGUUAUCCGGAUUUAUUGGGUUUAAAGGGUGCGUAGGCGGAUUGUUAAGUCAGUGGUGAAAGCUCUCGGCUCAACCGGGAAAUUGCCAUUGAUACUGACGAUCUUGAGUGUGGUUGAGGUGGGCGGAAUGUGUCAUGUAGCGGUGAAAUGCUUAGAUAUGACACAGAACACCGAUUGCGAAGGCAGCUCACUAAGCCACAACUGACGCUGAUGCACGAAAGCGUGGGGAGCAAACAGG